rnacentral:rRNA from 1 species
CUACGGGCCGCUGCAGUGAGGAAUAUUGCACAAUGGGGGGAACCCUGAUGCAGCAACGCCGCGUGGAAGAUGACGCAUUUCGGUGUGUAAACUCCUUUUAUAUGUCAAGAAAAUGACGGUAGCAUAUGAAUAAGCACCGGCUAACUCCGUGCCAGCAGCCGCGGUAAUACGGAGGGUGCAAGCGUUACUCGGAAGCACUGGGCGUAAAGGACGCGUAGGCGGGUUGGAAAGUCAGGUGUGAAAUCCUACAGCUUAACUGUAGAACUGCACUUGAAACUUCUAAUCUAGAGUAUGGGAGGGGGAGAUGGAAUUAGUGGUGUAGGGGUAAAAUCCGUAGGUAUCACUAGGAAUACCUAAAGCGAAGGCGAUCUCCUGGAACAUUACUGACGCUAAGGCGUGAAAGCGUGGGGAGCAAACAGGAUUAGAUACCCGCGUAGUC